GUGGAUUUUCAUCCAAUAUCUUUUUGCAUCCGAGCAUGUCCACCACAUAUGGUAAUAUGAACCAGGUAUCUGAUAACAUUUUCAACAUUCAUCCAAUUUGUUCUUGAACAUUCUUGCAAUUCUCAUCAGGGGUAAAUGCCACCUAAAACAUUUUAUACAAAU